UGCCAUGAGCAAGGAUCAUUAAGUGCCUUAUAGAAAUUCAGCUGUGCUCCUGGGCAUUUAAGCAGCUUUCUCUACCUAUGCCCCAUCACCUGUUUGGUAAAGCUUCCUCAGUCUUUUUUGGAGGUGAUAUGAGGUCAUGGGGCAAAGUCCAAGCCAGCAAGACGUUCCACCACAGCUCUCGCAGAGGGUGCACCAAGGCAGGAGAGGAAGGUGACAGCACCCUGUUGAUGUCCUGCAGCACUUGUAAGGUUGCUGCCUUGGAAGGGAUCAAGGAUGACUAUGGAGCAGGUUUGAAAGUGAGGGGGCAAGUGGGUUGCUUAGCUGGAGGCUAAUUCAGUGAGGACAGUGGGAAAGGAAGGCAUGUUAUAAGGAGGGACAACAGGAGAACCAGACAGAAAGUUCAUCGGAGUAAAACAGUCAGCCUCCCACUCCCUUCCCUCUUCAGGGGCUGGUGACAUUGGUUUCCAGAUCCUGUUGUUUGUGUUUUGCCAAAGGUUUUGCUUUGUGCUUAAUGGUGAGUGAGGCACAUGUGAAAAUCGUUGUUACUGAGCUCUGGAGAAGUGAUAGAGGAGAACAGAGGCAAGCUGGAAGAAAAACUUCUAUUUCAACAUGUAGGAAAAGAAUCUCAAUGGGGAGAGUGGUGAAACUUUUGAACAGGUUGCCUAGAGAAGCUACAACAUCUGUUUCCUUCAAUAGUUUCAAAACCUGACUGGACAAAGCCUUGAGCAAACAAGUCUAACAUUAAGGCUAACCUUGCUCUGAGCAGAAUGCUGGACUAGAGAACUGCUCCUAUUCUCCUUGCACCAUGGUCUCUUUGAAACGGAAUAUCUAUGAUUUUAUAACUUCAGCUCCUGAUUACAUUUAAGCAUUUGCCUGAGAUACCACCUUGUGAGGGGAGCAGCUCCAUCCCAUGAAAUCGAGACUUUGUUUUUCAAUUGCUUUUUAAUACUUUGCAUAGCACAGCAAGUGAAGAUAAAUUUCUGCACCUCUUCCUCCAUGCUGGCAUCCUCCUCUCAUUAAAUAAUUCCUUGUAACUUUGCUGCAACUGGAGUCAGAUGCUGACUUCUCAUGUCCUUUCAGGAAGGUGCCUAAGCAGGAGGGGGAAGAAUGUAUCUGGGAGCAUAAGGCGCACGUGUACAAACAAGUCUCUCAGCCAUGAAGAGAUGCAGCUGAGAUGGGAAUGCUCAAUCUGGGUGACAGAAGCUGCUGGAGAAAAUCACUCACUGCAGUGCCAUAAACCCAGUGCUUCUUAACUUCUGGCCUGAAGUGGAUCUGCUUCUUCAGAAUGGAUCCUUCUUCAAAGUUUACUGCUCUUCUACUUACAGUGGUCUCAGAAUUCACUUUCUCUUGACCAUUCAUAUGAAUUGGCAGACCAAUUCAUCAUUUAUUGUGCACAGGAAUUGGAGUCAUAAAGAUACCAUAAUGUUAAUAGAUUUGUUUCAGAGUUCAUGAGGACAAACUUGUUGGUCUCCCCAUAUGACUAACAGUGUAAAAAUCUGGAAUUGCCUCAGUUUAUCUCAGGCAUAAAAUAACUGCCACUGAAGAAUUGCACAUCAAUAAAUCACCUCUGAUUUAUUUCUUAUUGGGUAACAUGUUCUAAUUUCUCCAUAAAAGCAGAUAAAGGUAACUCUAAUUAAAAUGCCUAUCUCUUUCUGUGCUAUUUGUGUUAACAUUCAUGCUAUUGCAUACACUCCUUUCAUAAUACUAUAAUUUUUCAGUAUUCUACAGUUACUGUUUCGUUUAAAAUACCCCUGUGAUAUUAACUGUAUAAUAAAUUACAAUUCAAAAUAUAUCUGCCAUUUCAUCCAUGAGGAAGAAUAAUAAAGCCAUAAUAAAAAGGAAUCAAGUUUAGCAA